AUACGGAGGAUCCGAGCGUUAUCCGGAUUUAUGGGUUUAAAGGGUGCGUAGCGGAAGAAUAAGUCAGUGGUGAAAGUUUGCAGCUCAACUGUAAAAUUGCCGUUGAAACUGUUUUUCUUGAGUGUAAAUGAGGUAGGCGGAAUGUGUUGUGUAGCGGUGAAAUGCAUAGAUAUCACGCAGAACUCCGAUUGCGAAGGCAGCUUACUAAGCUACAACUGACACUGAAGCACGAAAGCGUGGGGAUC
rnacentral:rRNA from 1 species